UAGAAAACCUAUUGUUAUCUCUUUUACAUUCUCUUCUCUAAUAAACAACCCCAUCAACAAUCAAACGGCACAAACACUUUCGACUUCCCCAGAUUCCCUUAUAUAUGCUUCAGUUUUCUUGCUUCUCAUUGAAUGUAUAGAUCUUAUUGUCUCAUCGGUGUUUGCAAUUUUUAGUUUUAUUCUUCCUGGGUUCUGUAUGCAGCAAAAGAGCUCUGGAAAUGGGAAAUUCACGUGUGAAGAUACUGAAGAACAAAAAAAAUUCAUAUUAAACAACUGCCACAAGAAUCAGAUUAGUUGCUCCAAUCUGGGCAUACCCCCUACUGCUAUAAUUCAGUUCUUCCCGGAGCUGGAAUCUAGCGUCAACGACAACUGUGUUGGAGAUGGACGUGAUGGUGUUGGGUUGGGCUUUCCUGAGACUCACAGGUUUGGUGUAAAGUUUUGUCAUUCGGAGGGAAUGACCGGAUCAUCGGGGGUAAAGCCGCUGCUGUGGUGGAGCCGUUAAAGAAUUGCCGAUGUUGUUGACCACGUUCAAGGAAUUUUCAGUAUAGAGAGAUAAGGAGGAUUUCCAGUUUCUUUGGUCUUGAUAGAUAUGAGAAUGGUAGUGCAUUUAGAUCGCUUGGCUAGCCGACAAGUGGAAAGCUUAAUUUUGACAGACUGUCAAUGAUGCAAGCACAGGAUUCUCAGGCCAGGUGGAAACCAUCUUCAAGGAGUUGAGCUAGCAACACACUGCUGGAUGUUUGUUAGAGGUGUAGAUGACUUCCAACAGUUCAAUACCAUAUUCUCAUAUGGUAACUAGCCAAGCGGCUCUAUAGCCAUGUAU